rnacentral:tRNA from 1 species
GGUCACGUAGCUCAGUAGGUAGAGCACAUCCCUUUUAAGGAUGGGGUCCUGGGUUCGAAUCCCAGCGUGACCAC